rnacentral:tRNA from 1 species
GUCCCGGUAGCUCAGCGGUUAGAGCACCCGACUGUUAAUCGGGCGGCCGCAGGUUCAAAUCCUGCCCGGGACG